AGUAAUGUCUGGGAAACUGCCUGAUGGAGGGGGAUAACUACUGGAAACGGUAGCUAAUACCGCAUAACGUCGCAAGACCAAAGUGGGGGACCUUCGGGCCUCAUGCCAUCAGAUGUGCCCAGAUGGGAUUAGCUAGUAGGUGGGUAACGGCUCACCUAGGCGACGAUCCCUAGCUGGUCUGAGAGGAUGACCAGCCACACUGGAACUGAGACACGGUCCAG
rnacentral:rRNA from 1 species